rnacentral:tRNA from 3 species
AGGGUUUUAGUUAAAUUAUAUAACAAUUAUAUUGCAUAUAAAAAUUAAAAAAAUUAUUUUUUUAAACCUUA